CUUUAUUCCAGCAGCCGCGGUAAUACGUUCCCGGGCCUUGUACACACCGCCCGUCACACCACGAGAGUUUGUAACACCCGAAGUCGGUGAGGUAACCUUUUGGAGCCAGCCGCCUAAGGUGGGAUAGAUGAUUGGGGUGAAGUCGUAACAAGGUAGCCGUAUCGGAAGGUGCGGCUGGAUCACCUCCUUUCUAAGGAAGCAUUAAGAAUUUCGGUUCUUGAUGAACAAUGAGGCGCUUUUGUUUUGUUCAGUUUUGAAUGAGUAAUUCAUUCAAACUUGUUCUUUGAAAACUAGAUAAUAGAUAGAAGGCAAAUUUUUUGCGUCAAUUUUCAAAACACCGAGUAAGAUUUUUUAUUGGUACAUGAGAAGCGAGAAGUUCGAGGAAGCGAAGGAGUGAGCCCCAGAGCGUAUUUACAUACGUGAGGAGUGAACGAGUGGAGCUGACGAAGAAAUUCGAAGCUUAUCAUAGCCAUGAAGGUUAAGUUAGAAAGGGCGCACGGUGGAUACCUAGGCACACAGAGA
rnacentral:misc_RNA from 1 species